UACGGGGGGGGCAAGCGUUGUUCGGAAUUACUGGGCGUAAAGGGCGUGUAGGUGGCCAACUAAGUCCGACGUGAAAUCCCCAGGCUUAACCUGGGAACUGCGUCGGAUACUGGAUGGCUUGAAUUCGGGAGAGGGAUGCAGAAUUCCAGGUGUAGCGGUGAAAUGCGUAGAUAUUGGGAGGAAUACCGGUGGCGAAGGCGGCUCCCUGGACCGGUACUGACGCUGAGGCGCGAAAGCGUGGGUAGCAAACAGG
rnacentral:rRNA from 1 species